rnacentral:rRNA from 1 species
AUACGAAGGGUGCAAGCGUUGUUCGGAUUUACUGGGCGUAAAGCGUCCGUAGGUGGUUUGUUAAGUCAGGGGUGAAAUCCCGGGGCCUAACCCCGGAACUGCCUUUGAUACUGGCAGGCUGGAGCGCGAUAGAGGAAGAUGGAAUAUCUGGUGUAGGGGUGAAAUCCGUAGAUAUCAGAUAGAACACCAAUGGCGAAGGCAGUCUUCUGGAUCGUUGCUGACACUGAGGGACGAAAGCGUGGGUAGCAAACAGAAUUAGAUACUCUGGUAGUCCACGCCCUAAACGAUGCAUGCUUGUUGUUGGUUUCCUUCGGGGAAUCAGUGACGAAGCUAACGCGUUAAGCAUGCCGCCUGGGGACUACGAUCGCAAGAUUAAAACUUAAAGGAAUUGACGGGG